rnacentral:rRNA from 1 species
GUGAACGCUGGCGGUAGGCCUAACACAUGCAAGUCGAACGGCAGCACAGUAAGAGCUUGCUCUUACGGGUGGCGAGUGGCGGACGGGUGAGGAAUACAUCGGAAUCUACUUUUUCGUGGGGGAUAACGUAGGGAAACUUACGCUAAUACCGCAUACGACCUACGGGUGAAAGCAGGGGAUCUUCAGACCUUGCGCGAUUGAAUGAGCCGAUGUCGGAUUAGCUAGUUGGCGGGGUAAAGGCCCACCAAGGCGACGAUCCGUAGCUGGUCUGAGAGGAUGAUCAGCCACACUGGAACUGAGACACGGUCCAGACUCCUACGGGAGGCAGCAGUGGGGAAUAUUGGACAAUGGGCGCAAGCCUGAUCCAGCCAUACCGCGUGGGUGAAGAAGGCCUUCGGGUUGUAAAGCCCUUUUGUUGGGAAAGAAAAGCAGCAGGUUAAUACCCCGCUGUUCUGACGGUACCCAAAGAAUAAGCACCGGCUAACUUCGUG